rnacentral:rRNA from 1 species
CCUACGGGAGGCAGCAGUGAGGAAUAUUGGUCAAUGGACGAGAGUCUGAACCAGCCAAGCAGCGUGAAGGAUGACGGCCCUGUGUGUUGUAAACUUCUUUUAUAAGGGAAUAAAACGAGGCACGUGUGCCUGUUUGCAUGUACCUUAUGAAUAAGGAUCGGCUAACUCCGUGCCAGCAGCCGCGGUAAUACGGAGGAUGCGAGCGUUAUCCGGAUUUAUUGGGUUUAAAGGGAGCGUAGGUGGGUUGUUAAGUCAGUUGUGAAAGUUCGCGGCUCAACCGUAAAACUGCAAUUGAUACUGGCAGUCUUGAGUACAGUAGAGGGAGGCGGAAUGCGAGGUGUAGCGGUGAAAUGCUUAGAUAUCACGAAGAACCCCGAUUGCGAAGGCAGCUUACUAAACUGUGACUGACACUGAGGCGCGAAAGCGUGGGUAUCAAACAGGAUUAGAUACCCCAGUAGUC